UGUGAGCGGCUCCCCCAAUCACCAUGCCAGCAGCAGUCACUACGUAGGUGCCGCGCUACGGUGUUCUACAGCAGCACAGGCUGACAGAAGACUAGACUUCUGAUGAAACAGCCCCUGUUCCGAGGCUGAGAAACGCGUUAAGUAUCCUGCCAUCCUUUUCUGCUGAAAAAUUCAUGCUGGGGGCUCCAUUUCGUCCCACUGAUUGAUCCACAAACGGGAACCACAGUCGGAGCGAGGCAGCUCUAAGCUCCGUGGAGAUCCUUCAAACCGUAGUGCAAGCCACGGGCAGCCGGCGCCCGCAUCGGUGAAGGAAACCUCGGCGUGUCCGCAAUCAAUAGAGACGGGGCACAUUUUCAUCUAUCAUAAGAAGCAUUGAGAAAACAUCAGGAGACAGGACAACCAGGAGACUUCACUUCACACAAGGACAAUUGCCCAAAGUGACUUUUCUGUAAAAAAAAAAAGUUGAGUGCAAUAAUUGCAAUAUUUUAUACCAUAGAUACUUUUACAGUGAACAGUACGAUCAUUCAUUUCUCUAUGAAUUCAUGGAAAGAUAACAUCAAUACAUGGAAUAUCUGAAGUUAGGAUAAACUCAAUUUUCACAUAGACUUUUAUGGAAUAGUUGUUGAUUCCCUUUCCUGUCUUUAUUCUCAGUCCUCUUUACAACCUGACCCACUGGUGAGAGUUACUCUUGGAAUGUCUAACUAUAAAGAG